UGAUAGGACCUGAUGGAGUUACUCAAAUCAGAUCAGAUUUGGAUUGUGUACCUCAUGUGUGUUACCAUCCGGAUAUGGGAACACCAGUAACUAACUUGAACCUGACAGUGACAGCCCUAGCUGCCACUAACUGCUCCUGGCCCAAGUUUGGCCUAGGUCUGGCCUGAGGCCAGCUAGCAUUGGUAUCAAGCUAGAGUUUCAAGUUGAAUGUGCCUAAGCAGGCCUUACUAAUCAGUCCAGCCUGAAAGAUUAACAAUUUGUAGGCCAAGUAUUUGGCUGGUGAGACUGGCCUGGCCUGAGCAUGAUUCUUAGGGGGUGUUUGGCGCAUGGUAUUGGGAAGGAUCAGGUGGGAUGGGAUUCAAAAAGUGUAAUUAUUACAUAUGUAAGGGAUUGUCCCCUAUUACUAAGUGGGCUCCACCUGUUAGAUGGGCUACAAGUUGUCACUGCUCCUCAUCAAACGACUUCCGCCAAAGGUUGGAUAUGAUAUGCUAAAAAAACACUUGGCUCAUACACUACCUUUAUUUCUUCUGUGAAGAUUCCACAACAAGCAAUCGGGGCAACCAUCAACCAUGAACCCACAUGCCACUCCUGCUUCAAAUUAGGCUAUGAGCACUCGCUGCUGCUCCCUCUCCUGCUUCCUAGAUGUUCACAUACUUGCUAACUUUUAGAAGUGAACCUUUCAUAUAGAAUGAACUCCAACUAAUGAAGCAAUAAAUUUCCCCACAAAAUCAGCAAAAAAAAAAGAAAAAAAAGAAAAGGAAAAGAGAUUAAAAUAUGGAAUUGAGAACACCAUCCAAAGUGUUGAUAUAUGAUGGGAGCCAUCAUGGAUGUACCACAGCUCCUAGAUUGGAAGAUCUAGUCCAAUUGAUGGCCAGCAAAUGGACAGUUAAGAAAGAAAAUAUAGCAAUGGUCCACAUUCAACCCAAAAGGCCAAAGACUCAAUGGCUAGAAUCUUCCUUUCUGGGGCAUUUUUGGUUCGUGGCCACCAUUCAUAUCUACAGUUUCAAUCAUUGAACCAUGGUCCCAACUUUUACAAACUGAAAACCCCAACGCAUCAUAGAAACUAGGAGCAAUGCCAGGACUGUUAUCAUUCAUAAAUAUAAUUGUUUUCAUCUUUUGACAUUAAAAAGCACACAAAAGAUACCAAAUCCCUUCAAGAAAAUUGAAUUGUGCCCACCUUUGUAACACCAAUAGUUCGGACCUCAACUGAUCGCCUACCUUGGACUACAUCAAUAGCUACAUUUGAAAUUAGGCCUGUCCAUAGAUGUUGCAACAUAUCCCUCGCUUGAAUCCUUCCAAAUUCAACAUCUACAACCACAAUAAGAUGAGAAGGAAAAGCGAAUGGAAACAACAGUGUACCUAACACAACAAAGAAAUUAGUUAAGAGAAUGGAGCCAUAUGUUUCACCAAUUACCUGCAUACUUAUAAUUUCAUACGAUGGUGUGUUGAGUUGACCACCAAUAUGUUGCUCUGUUUUGUAAUGCUUUUACCAUGGUGUGCUUAUUUCUCUCCUUCAUGUUGUUUCCUUGAUUAUAACUUGGCUGUCUACUGUAGAUACAGAUGCAACCAAGAAACCCAUUGCUACUUAAUAUCCCAAGUAUGCCAUUUUUGAAGCAUAAAUUUCCUUGGGUACUGCUUGAUUAAUCUUAAGCAUUCAGUGUCCAUUCAAAGCAUCAAGCUGCCCUUAAUUAUUACCCUUUUGUCCAUCAGAUUCUUUAGUUUGGGCUGAUAUAGAAAUCUUAGGUGGAUGCUGCACAUAAUGUUCAUCUGCAUUUGAAAUCACUAUCUGAAUUACAUGUUUCCUGCUACAACUUAAAAAUAGUGGAUUCUUGCUACCUUUGUUUACAUAUAUACAAUUUUACACGUUCCUGUCUCUAAUUACAGUUAAUAAUUACAAUUAAUAAUUGUAUCUAAUUACAACUGAAAAAUAGUGUCUCUAAUUACAGUUAAUAAUUGUAUCUAAGUUCAUCAGAGAUGCAUUUACAUGAACAGAUCAAUUGAGUUGUUGAACAUCUAAUUACAAUUUAUAGUUGUUAAUUGAUCUUGCUUAAUAAUAUUUUUAUUGCUUUAUUUAUAGUUGGUUGGAUGAUGAAUAUACUUGCGAUUGAGAAUAGAAAUAAACAAUUUACAAUGUAUAUAUACCCUGGAGGAUUUAUUUUUUAGGGGGACAUGUAAUUAUUGUAACUUGCCUUCCUUUGCUAAAUGAACGGAUGAUAAUGGGGCUUGUUUAAAUUAUAUUAGGAAGCUUUGUCAGGUGUUUAGUAUAUUUUCACUAACCCGUCCGAGUGGCUAAGGAAGAUACUUAUGGAUAAGAGUUGGAUUCAUCUGCCAAGGGUGAGUGAUGCAUACUUAAAUGGAGCUGCAAAAUUUAUAGAUUUUGCAUUUGCAAAUGCAAGUAAUAGAGGGAGGAUCCGAUGUCCAUGUAAGAACUGUAACAAUAACUUCUGGG